UGCCAGCCGCCGCGGUAACACGUAGGUGGCAAGCGUUAUCCGGAAUUACUGGGCGUAAAGCGCACGCAGGCGGCCAAUUAAGUCUGGCGUGAAAGCUCCUGGCUUAACUGGGAGAGGUCGUUGGAAACUGAUUGGCUUGAGGUAGUGAGAGGGGUGCGGAAUUCCAGGUGUAGUGGUGGAAUGCGUAGAUAUCUGGAGGAACACCAGUGGCGAAAGCGGCACCCUGGCACUAUUCUGACGCUCAUGUGCGAAAGCGUGGGGAGCGAACGGGAUUAGAUA
rnacentral:rRNA from 1 species